rnacentral:rRNA from 1 species
UACGUAGGGUGCAAGCGUUAAUCGGAAUUACUGGGCGUAAAGCGUGCGCAGGCGGCUGUGCAAGACAGAUGUGAAAUCCCCGGGCUCAACCUGGGAAAUGCAUUUGUGACUGCACGGCUAGAGUACGGCAGAGGGGGAUGGAAUUCCGCGUGUAGCAGUGAAAUGCGUAGAUAUGCGGAGGAACACCGAUGGCGAAGGCAAUCCCCUGGGCCUGUACUGACGCUCAUGCACGAAAGCGUGGGGAGCAAACAGG